rnacentral:lncRNA from 13 species
GUGAUACUCUACCAUGUAGAAAAAUAAAGCCAUACUGAAAUAUUUUUAUCAAUAGAACAUAAUCACCAUAAGUCAAUGAUGUCUUUCUAUAUAUAUGUAUAUAUUUGCAUUGAUUUGGUUUGGUUCUGUGUCGCCACCCAAAUCUCAUCUCGAACUGUAAUCCUGUAAUCCCCAUGUGUCAAGGGAGGGACCUGGUGGGAGAUGACUGGAUUACAGGGGUGGACUCCUCUGUGUUGUUCUUGUGAUAGAGUGAGUUCUCAUACAAUCUGAUGGUUUUAUAGGUGACAGUUCCUCCUUGUUCACUCUCUUGAUGCCACCAUGUAAGAUGUGCUUCCUCUUCUCCAAUGAUUGCAAGUUUCCUGAGGCCUCCCCAGCCAUGCAGAACUGAAGUCUGCAAUUCUACAGUGUCAGUGUUUUUGCCUUUAUUGACUCAAGUUAAUUAAUAUGUGUGUGUGUCUCUGUGUGCAUUUUUAAGAGGUAAGGUUUAUUUGUCUCAUUCUUUGGAUGUAAUUUCUGUAAUUUUUAAAUUGUGGGUAAUUUAACAAAUGUCUAAUUUAAAAAACAUUAGUGUGGACUUGGAAGAAUAGUGUGUUUUGUAUCAUUAAUAUGCAGUGUUUCAUAUGUGUCCAUAGUAUUUAUCGAACUGAUUAUAUACAUUAGGUCUUCUUAAUCUUUUACCGUUUUUGCCUACGUGAUAUAUCUUGGACUGAGAGUUAAGAACUCCAAUUAUUAAUACUCUUCUGUAGAUUGUCCUUUGCUUAUUUCAUAGUUACCUGUAACGGUUCUUAUGUUUUUGUUCAUAGCUAUUGAUAACUGGUAAUGUCUCAAUUGUGCAUUAUGGCCUUUAGCGUUACAAAAUCUCUCAUUUUUCUUGUUAAAAGUCUUUGGCCUGGACUGUAACUUGUUAGGUAACAAAAUCUUAACACUCUCUUUUUCCAUCUAAAAAAUACCACACACGUUUUACAAAUUAAAUGGCUUUAUCAUGACAAAAAUCUCUUAUUUUUCUUGUUAAAGGUCUUUGGCCUAGACUGUAACUUGUUACAUAAAAAAAUCUUAACACUGACUUCUUCUUUCUUAAAAAAAACAUAUUUUAUCUAUUAAAUUGAGGCUUAAAUACUAACAGCAAAAGGAUUGAUUUUAAGUCUAUAUGAGAUGUUUUGACAAAUAUAUACACUUGCUAACCACCACUACAAGCAGCAUGUAAAAUACUUGUAUCAUCCAAAACAAGUUCAUUAUUUAUUGAUUUAUAUUUUGGGGGUGGGUAAAUAAAUUUAUUAGGACAUACA